CGUUAUGUGUGAAACUCUUCCGGCAUCGCUUCUUGAGGAGACAGGAGAUGACAGGAGGAUAGUUUUCGAUGAAAACCAUGUUAGUGGGUUUUAAAUCGCCCCUUAAAGUUGUCAGUUAUACUUGUUUGAUAUUUAUUUUCGAUAAAGCGUUGAUGCUGACAUGUACUGACAGCGUACCAGAUGUGGAGCAGAUUGGUUAGGCCUGCUGUGAUUGGUACAAGUGUGUGGAGGAGUCUGUUCACCAUGCAGCUGAAGACCAACGAGUUCCAGUCUCUCUUCACCGAUGGGCUGAAUGGACUGUCGGAGGUGUUUGAG